rnacentral:rRNA from 1 species
AUUGAACGCUGGCGGCAUGCCUUACACAUGCAAGUCGAACGGCAGCACGGGAGCAAUCCUGGUGGCGAGUGGCGGACGGGUGAGUAAAGUAUCGGAACGUGCCCAGUCGUGGGGGAUAACGUAGCGAAAGUUACGCUAAUACCGCAUACGAUCUAUGGAUGAAAGCGGGGGAUCGCAAGACCUCGCGCGAUUGGAGCGGCCGAUAUCAGAUUAGGUAGUUGGUGGGGUAAAGGCUCACCAAGCCGACGAUCUGUAGCUGGUCUGAGAGGACGACAAGCCACACUGGGACUGAGACACGGCCCAGACUCCUACGGGAGGCAGCAGUGGGGAAUUUUGGACAAUGGGCGAAAGCCUGAUCCAGCCAUGCCGCGUGCAGGAUGAAGGCCUUCGGGUUGUAAACUGCUUUUGUACGGAACGAAAAGGUUUGGCCUAAUAAGCUGAGCUCAUGACGGUACCGUAAGAAUAAGCACCGGCUAACUACGUGCCAGCCGCCGCAGUAA